rnacentral:rRNA from 1 species
UACGUAGGGUGCGAGCGUUGUCCGGAAUUAUUGGGCGUAAAGAGCUUGUAGGCGGUUUGUCGCGUCUGCCGUGAAAAUUCGAGGCUCAACUGGGCGGGGUCAGCGGAUACGGUGUGGCUGGAGCAAGCUAGGGGGCAAUGGAAUUCCCGGUGUAGUGGUGGAAUGCGUAGAUAUCGGGAGGAACACCAGUGGCGAAGGCGGUUGCCUGGAGCUUUGCUGACGCUGAUGCGCGAAAGCGUGGGGAGCGAUCCGG